GGGAAGGUGGCUCAGUGGUAGAGUGCUUGCCUUGCAUGCAUGAGGCCCUGGGUUCAAUUCCUCAGUGCCA
rfam:Dipodomys ordii contig_25613, whole genome shotgun sequence.